ACGCUGGCGGCGUGCCUAAUACAUGCAAGUUGAGCGCUGAAGGUUGGUACUUGUACCGACUGGAUGAGCAGCGAACGGGUGAGUAACGCGUGGGGAAUCUGCCUUUGAGCGGGGGACAACAUUUGGAAACGAAUGCUAAUACCGCAUAAAAACUUUAAACACAAGUUUUAAGUUUGAAAGAUGCAAUUGCAUCACUCAAAGAUGAUCCCGCGUUGUAUUAGCUAGUUGGUGAGGUAAAGGCUCACCAAGGCGAUGAUACAUAGCCGACCUGAGAGGGUGAUCGGCCACAUUGGGACUGAGACACGGCCCAAACUCUACGGGAGGCAGCAGUAGGGAAUCUUCGGCAAUGGACGAAAGUCUGACCGAGCAACGCCGCGUGAGUGAAGAAGGUUUUCGGAUCGUAAAACUCUGUUGGUAGAGAAGAACGUUGGUGAGAGUG
rnacentral:rRNA from 1 species